GUGACCUCAAAUCAGGUAGGACUACCCGCUGAACUUAAGCAUAUCAAUAAGCGGAGGAAAAGAAACUAACAAGGAUUCCCCUAGUAACUGCGAGUGAAGCGGGAAAAGCUCAAAUUUAAAAUCUGACAGUCUUUGGCUGUCCGAGUUGUAAUCUAGAGAAGCAUUAUCCGCGCUGGACCGUGUACAAGUCUCCUGGAAUGGAGCGUCAUAGAGGGUGAGAAUCCCGUCUUUGACACGGACUGCCAGGGCUUUGUGAUGUGCUCUCAAAGAGUCGAGUUGUUUGGGAAUGCAGCUCAAAAUGGGUGGUAAAUUCCAUCUAAAGCUAAAUAUUGGCGAGAGACCGAUAGCGAACAAGUACCGUGAGGGAAAGAUGAAAAGAACUUUGGAAAGAGAGUUAAACAGUACGUGAAAUUGCUGAAAGGGAAACGCUUGAAGUCAGUCGUGUCAGUCAGGGAUCAGCCUUGCUUUUGCUUGGUGUACUUUCUGGUUGAUGGGUCAGCAUCAAUUUUGACUAUUGGAAAAAGAUCAGGGGAAUGUAGCAUCUUCGGAUGUGUUAUAGCCCUUGGUUGUAUGCAAUGGUUGGGAUUGAGGAACUCAGCAUGCCGCAAGGCCGGGUUUUAAACCACGAACCAUGCUAGGA
rnacentral:rRNA from 2 species